GACAAACGCUGGCGGCGUGCCUAAUACAUGCAGGUAGAACGCACAGUUUAUACCGUAGCUUGCUACACCAUAGACUGUGAGUUGCGAACGGGUGAGUAACGCGUAGGUAACCUGCCUGGUAGCGGGGGAUAACUAUUGGAAACGAUAGCUAAUACCGCAUAAUAUUAAUUAUUGCAUGAUAAUUAAUUGAAAGGUGCAAUUGCACCACUACCAGAUGGACCUGCGUUGUAUUAGCUAGUAGGUGAGGUAACGGCUCACCUAGGCGACGAUACAUAGCCGACCUGAGAGGGUGAUCGGCCACACUGGGACUGAGACACGGCCCAGACUCCUACGGGAGGCAGCAGUAGGGAAUCUUCGGCAAUGGACGAAAGUCUGACCGAGCAACGCCGCGUGAGUGAAGAAGGUUUUCGGAUCGUAAAGCUCUGUUGUAAGAGAAGAACGGGUGUGAGAGUGGAAAGUUCACACUGUGACGGUAUCUUACCAGAAAGGGACGGCUAACUACGUG
rnacentral:rRNA from 1 species